UAGCUCAGUUGGUAGAGUGCCUGCCUCACAUGCACAAGUUCCUGGGUUCAAUCCCCAG
rfam:Ictidomys tridecemlineatus contig057159, whole genome shotgun sequence.